rnacentral:rRNA from 1 species
AGUGAACGCUGGCGGUAGGCCUAACACAUGCAAGUCGAACGGCAGCACAGUAAGAGCUUGCUCUUACGGGUGGCGAGUGGCGGACGGGUGAGGAAUACAUCGGAAUCUACUUUUUCGUGGGGGAUAACGUAGGGAAACUUACGCUAAUACCGCAUACGACCUACGGGUGAAAGCAGGGGAUCUUCGGACCUUGCGCGAUUGAAUGAGCCGAUGUCGGAUUAGCUAGUUGGCGGGGUAAAGGCCCACCAAGGCGACGAUCCGUAGCUGGUCUGAGAGGAUGAUCAGCCACACUGGAACUGAGACACGGUCCAGACUCCUACGGGAGGCAGCAGUGGGGAAUAUUGGACAGUGGGCGCAAGCCUGAUCCAGCCAUACCGCGUGGGUGAAGAAGGCCUUCGGGUUGUAAAGCCCUUUUGUUGGGAAAGAAAAGCAGCAGGUUAAUACCCCGCUGUUCGGACGGUACCCAAAGAAUAAGCACCGGCCAACUUCGU